rnacentral:rRNA from 1 species
AUUGAACGCUGGCGGCAGGCCUAACACAUGCAAGUCGAGCGGCAGCGGGAAAGUAGCUUGCUACUUUUGCCGGCGAGCGGCGGACGGGUGAGUAAUGCCUGGGAAAUUGCCCAGUCGAGGGGGAUAACAGUUGGAAACGACUGCUAAUACCGCAUACGCCCUGCGGGGGAAAGCAGGGGACCUUCGGGCCUUGCGCGAUUGGAUAUGCCCAGGUGGGAUUAGCUAGUUGGUGAGGUAAUGGCACAACAAGGCCACCACCCCUAGCGGGUCUGAAAUGAUGAUCAGCUAUUCUGGAACUGAGACGCGGUCCAAACUCCUGCGGGAGGCUGCAGUGGGGAACAUUGGGGAAUGGGGGAAACCUUGAUCCCCCGUUGGCGGGUGGGCGAUGAAAGCUUAAGGUUGUUUCCUGCUUUCAGCUAGUUGUAAAGGGGUCUUGCU